GGGGUUGUAGCUCAGUAGUAGAGUGCUUGUCUUGCAUGUAAGAGGCACUGGGUUUGAUCUUCAGCACCA
rnacentral:tRNA from 1 species